UAUGGAGAGUUUGAUCCUGGCUCAGGACGAACGCUGGCGGCGUGCUUAACACAUGCAAGUCGAGCGAUGAAGUUUCUUCGGAAAUGGAUUAGCGGCGAACGGGUGAGGAACACGUGAAGAAUCUGCCCUCCACUUUGGGAUAACACCGGGAAACCGGUGCUAAUACCGAAUAUUGAAACAUAAGUGGCAUCACUGAGUUUUGAAAGAAUUUCGGUGGAGGAUGACUUCGCGGCCUAUCAGCCGGCCACACUGGGACUGAGACACGGCCCAGACUCCUACGGGAGGCAGCAGUGGGGAAUAUUGGGCAAUGGAGGAAACUCUGACCCAGCGACGCCGCGUGCGGGAUGAAGGCCUUCGGGUUGUAAACCGCUUUCAGUAGGGAAGAAGCGAAAGUGACGGUACCUACAAAAGAAGCACCGGCUAACUAUGUGCCAGCAGCCGCGGUAAUACAUAGGGUGCAAGCGUUGUCCGGAAUUAUUGGGCGUAAAGAGCUCGUAGGUCGUUUGUUACGUCGGAUGUGAAAACCUGAGGCUCAACCUCAGGCCUGCAUUCGAUACGGGCAAACUAGAGUUUGGUAGGGGAGACUGGAAUUCCUGGUGUAGCGGUGGAAUGCGCAGAUAUCAGGAGGAACACCAAUGGCGAAGGCAGGUCUCUGGGCCAAUACUGACACUGAGGAGCGAAAGUCUGGGGAGCGAACAGGAUUAGAUACCCUGGUAGUCCAGACCGUAAACGGUGGGCACUAGUUGUGGGAACCUUCCACGGUUUCUGCGACGCAGCUAACGCAUUAAGUGCCCCGCCUGGGGAGUACGAUCGCAAGAUUAAAACUCAAAGGA
rnacentral:rRNA from 1 species